rnacentral:rRNA from 1 species
GACGAACCGUGCAAACGUUGUUCGGAUUCACUGGGCUUAAAGCGUGUGUAGGCGGAUGGGUAAGUACCUUGUGAAAUCCCACGGCUCAACCGUGGAACUGCUCGGUAUACUGCUCGUCUUGAGCCAACUAGGGGCGACCGGAACAAACGGUGGAGCGGUGAAAUGCGUAGAUAUCAGGAGGAACACCAAUGGCGAAGGCAGCUCGCUGGGACGGUACUGACGCUGAGACGCGAAAGCGUGGGGAGCAAACAGG